GGAUCCAGACUUUGAUUCUGGCUCAGGAUUAACGCUGGCGCGCAUGCCUAAGACAUGCAAGUCGAACGGAACCACCCCAACUGAAAUCUGAAUGAAGUCUGAGAGCUUGCUCAAAGAUGGAAUGACGGUGGACGUGGAUUCUGUGUUCAGUGGCGAACGGGUGGAGUAACACGUGGGUUUACCUGCCUCUAAGUUGGGGACAACAGUUGGAAACGACUGCUAAUACCGAAUGUGAUAGUAAUAUUAAAGGAGCCUUUAAAGCUUCGCUUAGAGAUGGGCCUGCGGCGUAUUAGCUAGUUGGUGGGGGUAAUGGCCUACCAAGGCAACGAUGCGUAGCCGGGACUGAGAGGUUGAUCGGCCACACUGGGACUGAGACACGGCCCAGACUCCUACGGGAGACAGCAGUUAGGAAUAUUCGGCAAUGGGGGAAACCCUGACCGAGCAAUGCCGCGUGUGAGAUGAAGGUCCUUCGGAUUGUAAAUCACUUUUAUUUGGGAAGAACUGUAAGUAGAGGAAAUGAUACUUACUUGACGGUACCUUUUGAAUAAGCCCCGGCUAACUACGUGCCAGCAGCCGCGGUAAUACGUAGGGGGCGAGCGUUAUCCGGAUUUAUUGGGCGUAAAGCGUGCGUAGGCGGUUUAUUAAGCCUAGAAUUAAAGCCCGAGGCUUAACCUCGGUUCGUUCUAGAUACUGGUUGACUAGAGUACAGUAGAGGCAAAUGGAAUUCCUAGUGUAGCGGUGGAAUGCGUAGAUAUUAGGAGGAACACCAGUGGCGAAGGCGAUUUGCUGGGCUGUAACUGACGCUGAGGUACGAAAGCGUGGGUAGCAAAUAGGAUUAGAUACCCUAGUAGUCCAC
rnacentral:rRNA from 1 species